rnacentral:rRNA from 1 species
AGUUGGUGAGGUAACGGCUCACCAAGGCCACGAUGCAUAGCCGACCUGAGAGGGUGAUCGGCCACAUUGGGACUGAGACACGGCCCAAACUCCUACGGGAGGCAGCAGUAGGGAAUCUUCGGCAAUGGACGAAAGUCUGACCGAGCAACACCGCGUGAGUGAAGAAGGUUUUCGGAUCGUAAAACUCUGUUGUUAGAGAAGAACAAGGAUGAGAGUAACUGUUCAUCCCUUGACGGUAUCUAACCAGAAAGCCACGGCUAACUACGUGCCAGCAGCCGCGGUAAUACGUAGGUGGCAAGCGUUGUCCGGAUUUAUUGGGCGUAAAGCGAGCGCAGGCGGUUUCUUAAGUCUGAUGUGAAAGCCCCCGGCUCAACCGGGGAGGGUCAUUGGAAACUGGGAGACUUGAGUGCAUAAGAGGAGAGUGGAAUUCCAUGUGUAGCGGUGAAAUGCGUAGAUAUAUGGAGGAACACCAGUGGGCGAAGGGCGGCUCUCUGGUCUGUAACUGACGCUGAGGCUCGAAAGCGUGGGGAGCAAACAGGAUUAGAUACCCUGGUAGUCCACGCCGUAAACGAUGAGUGCUAAGUGUUGGAGGGUUUCCGCCCUUCAGUGCUGCAGCUAACGCAUUAAGCACUCCGCCUGGGGAGUACGACCGCAAGGUUGAAACUCAAAGGAAUUGACGGGGGCCCGCACAAGCGGUGGAGCAUGUGGUUUAAUUCGAAGCAACGCGAAGAACCUUACCAGGUCUUGACAUCCUUUGACCACUCUAGAGAUAGAGCUUCCCCUUCGGGGGCAAAGUGACAGGUGGUGCAUGGUUGUCGUCAGCUCGUGUCGUGAGAUGUUGGGUUAAGUCCCGCAACGAGCGCAACCCUUAUUGUUAGUUGCCAUCAUUCAGUUGGGCACUCUAGCAAGACUGCCGGUGACAAACCGGAGGAAGGUGGGGAUGACGUCAAAUCAUCAUGCCCCUUAUGACCUGGGCUACACACGUGCUACAAUGGGAAGUACAACG